AGUUCUGAUGGAGUCGUCCUUGAAAUAACACCCUUGUAGUGUUGAUGUUCUAACUUGGCCCCAUUAUCUGGGGUAAGGACAGUGCCUGGUGGGUAGUUUUACUGGGGCGGUCUCCUCCCAAAGAGUAACGGAGGAGCACGAAGGUUGGCUAAGUACGGUCGGACAACGUACGGUUAGUGCAAUGGCAUAAGCCAGCUUAACAGCGAGACAGACACGUCGAGCAGGUACGAAAGUAGGUCAUAGUGU
rnacentral:rRNA from 1 species